rnacentral:misc_RNA from 1 species
CACCUCUCAAGCCUUGCUUGGUGAUGGGCCCCGCCUGCGGGCGGGCCCGAAACUCGUGGGCGUCGACGACCGGCUCCGAGCGUAGCAAAACCCUCGCUCGGGACCCCGGUUUGCGGCCGCCCCGGACCUCAAAACUUUUCACAA